rnacentral:misc_RNA from 1 species
UUCUCUUGCUAGUGGAGUUCAUUCUGGUAUAUGGUUUGAGACAAAAAAACAACAUAUAAUGGUGGUUCACAAGAGAAGCAUAACAACACCAGCACUCUAGUUAUUUAAGUGAAAUUAACUACAUUUGAAACACAUUAUAACCCAGCCAUUCUGGACAAUUAACCUAAGUAAUAACAUUUCACAUAAAAGUUGGGCACACAAUGCCUCUAAAAACAGCAACUGGCCCGAAGUUGUUGGAUACCAUCUCUUGGAUCACCCCCUGCCCCGGCCUGCACCUCUGUUUCCACCUGUCUUUCCACCUAAGCCACCUCUGCCACGGCCUCCACCAGCAGCCUUAGCAUCAUCAAGGCCACGCCCAAUGCCUUUCACUGGCCUCCCGCCAUCCUCUCUACCUCUUCCUCUUCCACGACCCACCCCAGGUGGCUUCCGAUCUGUGCGGCUCUU